AAAAAAACGGCUUCAUAUGACUUCCCCAUUAAAGAACAUCCAGUAUACUUUAUUCCUCUGAAAUACAGGUUUCACUGAGCUGCAACAAAUCCUCCACAGAACCUCACACCAACAAUGGUGAUUACAGGAGACCCAUUUGGUGAAAGCAGCAUU